UACGUAGGGUGCGAGCGUUGUCCGGAAUUAUUGGGCGUAAAGAGCUCGUAGGCGGUUUGUUGCGUCGGCCGUGAAAAUUCAGGGCUUAACUCUGAGCCUGCGGUCGAUACGGGCAGACUUGAGUUCGGUAGGGGAGACUGGAAUUCCUGGUGUAGCGGUGAAAUGCGCAGAUAUCAGGAGGAACACCGGUGGCGAAGGCGGGUCUCUGGGCCGAUACUGACGCUGAGGAGCGAAAGCGUGGGGAGCGAACAGG
rnacentral:rRNA from 1 species